AUGAAUAGAAAACAUUACACUGAAGAUCCUGCUGUUUUAUUAGUCUGUUUUACUGUGGGCUUUACCCCAAAGGUCUGUUUUACUGUGGGCUUUACCCCAAAGGUCUGUUUUACUGUGGGCUUUACCCCAAAGGUCUGUUUUACUGUUUACCCCAAAGGUCUGUUUUACUGUGGGCUUUACCCCAAAGGUCUGUUUUACUGUGGGCUUUACCCCAAAGGUCUGUUUUACUGUGGGCUUUACCCCAAAGGUCUGUUUUACUGUGGGCUUUACCCCAAAGGUCUGUUUUACUGUGGGCUUUACCCCAAAGGUCUGUUUUACUGUGGGCUUUACCCCAAAGGUCUGUUUUACUGUGGGCUUUACCCCAAAGGUCUGUUUUACUGUGGGCUUUACCCCAAAGGUCUGUUUUACUGUUUAACCCAAAGGUCUGUUUUACUGUGGGCUUUAACCCAAAGGUCUGUUUUAAUGUGGGCUUUAACCCAAAGGUCUGUUUUACUGUGGGCUUUACCCCAAAGGUCUGUUUUACUGUGGGCUUUAACCCAAAGGUCUGUUUUUACUGUGGGCUUUACCCCAAAGGUCUGUUUUACUGUGGGCUUUACCCCAAAGGUCUGUUUUAAUGUGGGCUUUACCCCAAAGGUCUGUUUUA
rnacentral:lncRNA from 1 species